UACGGAAGGCAGCAGUGGGGAAUAUUGCACAAUGGGCGCAAGCCUGAUGCAGCCAUGCCGCGUGUAUGAAGAAGGCCUUCGGGUUGUAAAGUACUUUCAGUCGUGAGGAAGGUGUUAAGGUUAAUAACCUUAGCAAUUGACGUUAGCGACAGAAGAAGCACCGGCUAACUCCGUGCCAGCAGCCGCGGUAAUACGGAGGGUGCGAGCGUUAAUCGGAAUUACUGGGCGUAAAGGGCACGCAGGCGGUUAAUUAAGUUGGAUGUGAAAUCCCCGGGCUUAACCUGGGAAUGGCAUUCAAGACUGGUUAGCUAGAGUCUUGUAGAGGGGGUAGAAUUCCAUGUGUAGCGGUGAAAUGCGUAGAGAUGUGGAGGAAUACCGGUGGCGAAGGCGGCCCCUGGACAAAGGCUGACGCUCAUGUGCGAAAGCGUGGGGAGCAAACAGGGAUUA
rnacentral:rRNA from 1 species